GAUCAUGGCUCAGGAUGAACGCUAGCGGCAGGCUUAACACAUGCAAGUCGAGGGGCAGCGGGAUGUAGCAAUACAUUGCCGGCGACCGGCGGAUGGGUGCGUAACGCGUAUGCAACCUACCUUAUACAGGGGAAUAACCUUUCGAAAGGGAGACUAACACCCCAUAGUAUUGAUUUAAGGCAUCUUAGAUUAAUUAAAUAUUUAUAGGUAUAAGAUGGGCAUGCGUAUGAUUAGCUAGUUGGUAAGGUAACGGCUUACCAAGGCGACGAUCAUUAGGGGUUCUGAGAGGAAGGUCCCCCACACUGGUACUGAGACACGGACCAGACUCCUACGGGAGGCAGCAGUGAGGAAUAUUGGUCAAUGGGCGCAAGCCUGAACCAGCCAUGCCGCGUGCCAGGAAGACGGCCUUAUGGGUUGUAAACUGCUUUUACAUAAGACUAACCGUAUAUUUGCGAAUAUACCUGAAUGUAUUAUGAGAAUAAGGAUCGGCUAACUCCGUGCCAGCCGCCGC
rnacentral:rRNA from 1 species